rnacentral:rRNA from 1 species
UACGUAGGGUGCAAGCGUUGUCCGGAAUUAUUGGGCGUAAAGAGCUCGUAGGCGGUCUGUCGCGUCUGCUGUGAAAACUCAGGGCUUAACCCUGAGCUUGCAGUGGGUACGGGCAGACUAGAGUGCGGUAGGGGAAACUGGAAUUCCUGGUGUAGCGGUGAAAUGCGCAGAUAUCAGGAGGAACACCGGUGGCGAAGGCGGGUCUCUGGGCCACUACUGACGCUGAGGAGCGAAAGCGUGGGGAGCGAACAGG